UUAGUCAUGGACGCAAGCCUGAACCAGCCAAGCCGCGUGAAGGUAUGUAAGGCCCUAUGGGUUGUAAACUUCUUUUAUACGGGAAGAACCCUCCGACGUGUCGGAGACUGACGGUACCGUACGAACAAGCAUCGGCUAACUCCGUGCCAGCAGCCGCGGUAAUACGGAGGAUGCAAGCGUUAUCCGGAUUUAUUAGGUAUAAAGGGUGCGUAGGCGGACCUGUUAGUCAGUGGUGAAAUACUACGGCUUAACCGUAGAACUGCCAUUGAUACUGCAGGUCUUGAGUACAGUUGAGGUAGGCGGAAUGUGUGGUGUAGCGGUGAAAUGCUUAGAUAUCACACAGAACACCGAUUGCGAAGGCAGCUUACUAAGUUGUAACUGACGCUGAUGCACGAAAGCAUGGGGAGCAAACAGGAUUAGAUACCCUGGUAGUCCAUGCCGUAAACGAUGAUCACUCGCUGUUUGUCCAUUAGGAUAAGUGGCUGAGCUAACGCAUUAAGUGAUCCACCUGGGAGUACGGCGGCAACGCUCACGUGAAAGCGAGACCCUCCUUCGGGACGGACUGCAAGGUGCUGCAUGGUUGUCGUCAGCUCGUGCCGUGAGGUGUCGGGUUAAGUCCCAUAACGAGCGCAACCCUCAUCGUUAGUUACCAGCGGAUAAUGCCGGGGACUCUAACGAGACUGCCACCGUAAGGUGAGAGGAAGGUGGGGAUGACGUCAAAUCAGCACGGCCCUUAUAUCCAGGGCUACACACGUGUUACAAUGGCCAGUACAAAGGGCAGCUACCUGGUGACAGGAUGCUAAUCUCAAAAACUGGUCUCAGUUCGGAUCGAAGUCUGCAACUCGACUUCGUGAAGUUGGAUUCGCUAGUAAUCGCGCAUCAGCAAUGGCGCGGUGAAUACGUUCCCGGGAUACACGAUAUGUA
rnacentral:rRNA from 1 species